CCUCCUGAAUCUACAGACGUAAAUGAUGAUCUCUUCAGUUCUCUCUUCUCUUUUGAUGGUCUGAGAGAAUCUGUCCAUCAGCUGAGAGACAAACUGGAGGAUUUCUGCAAAGAGGAGCUCAAGAAGAUCUCAGACAGAGUCACAUUCACCAACAUUGUUCCCAGAACCAGGAACGACUUCCUACAAUAUUCCCAUCAGCUCACUCUGGAUCUGAACACAGUGAAUAAACUCCUCCGUCUGUCUAAGAGCAACA